UUUGAGGCACGCAACACAGAUCUCGCGCUGUCCGUACUUGUGAAACAAACACAAACCAAAACACCCGGCUUUUCUGGGAAGACACGGCUCGCCUUCACUUUUUUUGGGGACAAUAACACCAUGGAUGCCUUGAGAGCAGUCGCUUUUUACACGCUCUUCAUUUUCCUUUGGAGUUUACAGUAUUGCCAGUCAGCUGCGCUUAUAUCGCAGAAAAGGAGCAAGGGUGCCAGGAGCGCGUAUGAUGGACAAAGUUCACCCAAAUUUCUUAAAGAGAUUUUCGCAUCCUCCCCGGGAGCGGGUCGCCUGGAUGAUUUAAAGGACCCGGUUGUGCCUCACGAUUACAUGAUUUUUUUUUUAAGGGCUUAUUACUCCGCUGAUGAAAUGGGUGUGGAUGAGUGCGUUUUUUUUGCUCUUUUAAGUGUGUGAAAACAAUAUAGAGAGUUUUGUAGACAGGGGAAAAGACAAUCUCACGCUCUCUCCUUUGCUAAGACAAACGUAUCUGUUUGAUGUCUCAACUCUCUCAAACAAAGAGGAGCUGGUCGGUGCUGAAUUAAGGAUAUUUCGCAAAGCGCCCGGGGAUGUCCAACCGUCCCCAUUAGGCGUCUACACUCUUCAUCUACUCUCGUGUCGAUCAGAGAGGCCACUGGCUUCCAGAUCCCUUGAUCUUCAGGAUACCCGAAAAGCAGAAUGGGAGGUUCUGGACGUUUGGGGAAUUUUUAAAAACAGACACCAAAGGAAUCGGCUUUGUCUCCAGCUCAAGGUUACGCAUAGCAAAUCUGACACCGAAAUCGACCUAAAUCAACUGGGUUUCCACCGGCACGGCCGAACGCAGCAAGAAAAGGCCAUAUUGGUGGUCUACUCGCGGUCUAGGAAAAGAGAAAACUUGUUUAAUGAGAUGAAAGAGAAGAUCAAGUCUCGCGGAUACGACGAUGAGGAUGAGGAGAGCGCGCUACAGUUUAAAGCGCGGCGCAGACGGAGAACUGCGCUCAAUAAUCGCCAUGGGAAACGGCAUGGCAAAAAGUCCAAAUCGAGAUGCAGCAAAAAGGCACUGCACGUCAAUUUCAAAGAGCUGGGAUGGGACGACUGGAUCAUCGCUCCGCUGGAUUACGAAGCAUACCACUGCGAGGGCGUGUGCGACUUCCCAUUGAGGUCGCACCUGGAGCCGACCAACCACGCCAUCAUUCAGACGCUUAUGAACUCCAUGGACCCCAACAGCACGCCGCCGAGCUGUUGCGUCCCCACAAAACUCAGCCCCAUCAGUAUACUAUACAUAGACUCCGGCAACAACGUCGUGUACAAACAGUACGAGGACAUGGUGGUAGAACAGUGUGGCUGUAGGUAGCGAAUCACACACGAGGGUUUGGCACCAAGGCAUAAAACACUUGAACGACGCGUAAAGACGCGCUUGAACCGCCCUAACUGCGUAUUAUCACUUAUGCAAAAGGGAUUCUUCAUCAGAGACAUUUUUGACGAUUUAAAAGAUUUCCACAGGCCACUGUUCUUGGUUGUGCCAAGAGCUUGUGUACAGUUUCUCUAGACUUGGAAAAAUCUUGCUUUAGAAGGUUUGUCGUCAUUUUUCCUUACACAUGCUGGGUUUCCUUUUGUAAUUACGUGUCCAAAAAAACCUAAGUAUCUCUUUAACGUGUCGUCUCUCGGACGAGGCAGGUAGAAUUAACGCCAGAUUUAGUGCGUAACCGUCUGGACACGAUUCACUGAGGAUUGUGUUACACCAUUAUCUCCGUGGACUCAGAAGAAUGUGGAGACGGGCACCUGUUCAAACUCAUCUGUUAGUUAUGUGGAUAAGAUACUUUAUGGUAUAUGGAUAAUGAAAGAGCAAAACGCAGUGCCCUGGAAACGCUUUUUUUUUACGACCACUGGAGCGUAAUCGAGUCAUAUUCAGCUUUUGGGGGCAAAGGUGAAUGUACCAAACAUUAAAUAAGGCAUAAAGCGAUUCUACAGAGAGAAAGAGAGAGACUGACUGAUGACUUACUGAUGCUUUUUUGAGGACAACGUUCUCGAGUUAAGGUUUUUUUUUAUUUUAUUUUAUUUUUUAUUAUUAUUAUUU